GAGUUUUGAUCCUGGGGCUCAGAUUGAACGCUGGCGGCAGGCCUAACACAUGCAAGUCGAGCGAGAAAGCACUUCGGUGUGAGUAGAGCGGCGGACGGGUGAGUAACGCGUAGGAAUCUACCCAGUAGCGGGGGACAACAUGGUGAAAACCAUGCUAAUACCGCAUACGCCCUACGGGGGAAAGGGGGCUUUUGCUCCCACUAUUGGAUGAGCCUGCGUAAGAUUAGCUAGUUGGUGAGGUAAUGGCUCACCAAGGCGACGAUCUUUAGCUGGUCUGAGAGGAUGAUCAGCCACACUGGAACUGAGACACGGUCCAGACUCCUACGGGAGGCAGCAGUGGGGAAUAUUGCACAAUGGGGGAAACCCUGAUGCAGCCAUGCCGCGUGUGUGAAGAAGGCUCUCGGGUUGUAAAGCACUUUCAGUGGGGAGGAAAAGAUAGUAGUUAAUAGCUGCUAGCUGUGACGUUACCCACAGAAGAAGCACCGGCUAAUUUCGUGCCAGCAGCCGCGGUAAUACGAAAGGUGCAAGCGUUAAUCGGAAUUGCUGGGCGUAAAGCGCGCGUAGGCGGUUAAUUAAGUCGGAUGUGAAAGCCCAGGGCUCAACCUUGGAACUGCAUUCGAUACUGGUCAUCUAGAGUACAGUAGAGGGGGGUAGAAUUUCUUGUGUAGCAGUGAAAUGCGUAGAUAUGAGAAGGAAUACCAGUGGCGAAGGCGGCCACCUGGACUGAUACUGACGCUGAGGUGCGAAAGCGUGGGGAGCAAACGGGAUUAGAUACCCCGGUAGUCCACGCCGUAAACGAUGUCUACUAGCCGUUGGGAGACUUGAUCUCUUAGUGGCGCAGCUAACGCACUAAGUAGACCGCCUGGGGAGUACGGUCGCAAGAUUAAAACUCAAAUGAAUUGACGGGGGCCCGCACAAGCGGUGGAGCAUGUGGUUUAAUUCGAUGCAACGCGAAGAACCUUACCAAGACUUGACAUCCUGAGAACUUGCUAGAAAUAGCUUGGUGCCUUCGGGAGCUCAGAGACAGGUGCUGCAUGGCUGUCGUCAGCUCGUGUUGUGAAAUGUUGGGUUAAGUCCCGUAACGAGCGCAACCCUUGUCCUUAGUUGCCAUCAGUUCGGCUGGGAACUCUAAGGAGACUGCCGGUGACAAACCGGAGGAAGGUGGGGACGACGUCAAGUCAUCAUGGCCCUUACGUCUUGGGCUACACACGUGCUACAAUGGGGAGUACAGAGGGUUGCCAAGCCGCGAGGUGGAGCUAAUCCCAGAAAACUUCUCGUAGUCCGGAUUGGAGUCUGCAACUCGACUCCAUGAAGUUGGAAUCGCUAGUAAUCGCGAAUCAGAAUGUCGCGGUGAAUACGUUCCCGGGCCUUGUACACACCGCCCGUCACAUCAUGGGAGUGUGUUGCACCAGAAGUAGCUAGUUUAACCUUCGGGAUGACGGUUACCACGGUGUGAUUCAUGACUGGGAUGAAGUCGUAACAAAGGUA
rnacentral:rRNA from 1 species